CUACGGGAUGCAGCAGUGAGGAAUAUUGCACAAUGGGGGGAACCCUGAUGCAGCAACGCCGCGUGGGGGAUGACGCAUUUCGGUGUGUAAACUCCUUUUAUAUGUCAAGAAGAUGACGGUAGCAUAUGAAUAAGCACCGGCUAACUCCGUGCCAGCAGCCGCGGUAAUACGGAGGGUGCAAGCGUUACUCGGAAUCACUGGGCGUAAAGGACGCGUAGGCGGGUUGGAAAGUCAGGUGUGAAAUCCUACAGCUUAACUGUAGAACUGCACUUGAAACUUCUAAUCUAGAGUAUGGGAGGGGGAGAUGGAAUUAGUGGUGUAGGGGUAAAAUCCGUAGAUAUCACUAGGAAUACCUAAAGCGAAGGCGAUCUCCUGGAACAUUACUGACGCUAAGGCGUGAAAGCGUGGGGAGCAAACAGGAUUAGAUACCCCGGUAGUC
rnacentral:rRNA from 1 species